GAGUCUGACAUGUGUGCGAG
rnacentral:snRNA from 1 species